rnacentral:rRNA from 1 species
CCUACGGGUGGCAGCAGUGAGGAAUAUUGGUCAAUGGGCGGAAGCCUGAACCAGCCAAGUAGCGUGCGGGAUGAAGGCCCUACGGGUCGUAAACCGCUUUUGCACGGGGAUAACACCCUCCACUUGUGGAGGUCUGCAGGUACCGUGCGAAUAAGGGCCGGCUAAUUCCGUGCCAGCAGCCGCGGUAAUCCGGAAGGCCCGAGGGUUAUCCGGUUUCAUGGGGCUUAAGGGGAGCGUAGGGGGGCGUUCAAGUCAGCGGGAAAACCGCGGGGCUAAACCGCGCCCCGCAGUUGAAACUGGACGCCUUGAGUUCACAAGAGGCAGGCGGAAUUCGUGGUGUAGCGGUGAAAUGCAUAGAUAUCACGAGGAACCCCGAUUGCGAAGGCAGCCUGCCGGGGUGCGACUGACGCUGAGGCUCGAAGGUGCGGGUAUCAAACAGGAUUAGAUACCCUGGUAGUC